rnacentral:rRNA from 1 species
AGAGUUUGAUCCUGGCUCAGAUUGAACGCUGGCGGCAUGCCUUACACAUGCAAGUCGAACGGUAACAGGUCUUCGGAUGCUGACGAGUGGCGAACGGGUGAGUAAUACAUCGGAACGUGCCCAGUCGUGGGGGAUAACUACGCGAAAGCGUAGCUAAUACCGCAUACGAUCUAUGGAUGAAAGCGGGGGAUCGCAAGACCUCGCGCGAUUGGAGCGGCCGAUGGCAUAUUAGGUAGUUGGUGGGGUAAAGGCUCACCAAGCCGACGAUCUGUAGCUGGUCUGAGAGGACGACCACCCACACUGGGACUGAGACACGGCCCACACUCCUACGGGAGGCAGCAGUGGGGAAUAUUGCACAAUGGGCGCAAGCCUGAUGCAGCGACGCCGCGUGAGGGAUGACGGCCUUCGGGUUGUAAACCUCUUUCACCAGGGACGAAGCGUGAGUGACGGUACCUGGAGAAGAAGCACCGGCCAACUACGUGCCAGCAGCCGCGGUAAUACGUAGGGUGCGAGCGUUGUCCGGAAUUACUGGGCGUAAAGAGCUCGUAGGCGGUUUGUCGCGUCGUCUGUGAUAUUCUGCAACUCAAUUGCAGGCGUGCAGGCGAUACGGGCAGACUUGAGUACUACAGGGGGAGACUGGUAUUUCCUGGUGGUAGCGGUGAAAUGCACAGAUAUCAGAGACACCGGUGGCGAAGGCGGGUCUCUCUGGGUAGUACCUGACGCUGAGAGCGAAAGCGUGGGUAGCGACAUGAUCAAUCCCUGUAGUCACGCAGUAACGUAGUACUACGUGGUGGGUUCUCUUUCACAGGAUCCGUGCCGUAGCUACCAUAGUACCGCUGAGGAUCCGCCGCUAGCUAAACCCAUGAAUUGACGGCUGUCACGGACUGGAUAUCAUGCACGUACGCUUACU